AUUGAACGCUGGCGGCAGGCUUAACACAUGCAAGUCGAGCGAGCGGCGGACGGGUGAGUAAUGUCUGGGAAACUGCCUGGUGGAGGGGGUUAACAACUGGGAACGGUAGCUAAUAACGCAUACCAUCAGAUGUGCCCAGAUGGGAUUAGCUAGUAGGUGGGGUAAUGGCGCACCUAGGAGACGAGCCCUAGCUGGUCUGAGAGGACGACCAGCCACACGGGAACUUAGACACGGUCCAAACUCCUACGGGAGGCAGCAGUGGGGAAUAUUGCACAAUGGGCGAAAGCCGUAUGCAGCCAGGCCGAGUGUGUGAAGAAGGCCUUCGGGUUGUAAAGCACUUUCAGCGAGGAGGCGUUACUCGCAGAAGAAGCACCGGCUAACUCCGUGCCAGCCGCCGCGGUAAUUC
rnacentral:rRNA from 1 species